UACAAACUUAGUAUCAAUCCUAUGAUUCAAUAGAGUCCUAGGAAGUCUGAAAGUUGCAUCUAGUAGAGUCUUAUGCAUGGGUGUGUUGGGCGCCACACUUAUGGAUAAGAGGCUAUUAGAUAUUUUAGAAAAAAGUUUCCCUUCUUUCAGUAUUUAUGUCGUAUGAGUGAGCAUGAGCUCUAAUUAAACUCUCAGUCUAAUUUAUCUUUUCCUUAUGCUUUCAAAA
rnacentral:lncRNA from 1 species